rnacentral:rRNA from 1 species
UAGCAUAAUAAUUAGUUUUUUAAUUAAGAACUGGAAUGAAGGGUCCUACGAGAAAAAGACUGUCUCAAUUUAAUUUAAUUAGAAUUUUAUUUCUAAGUAAAAAAGCUUAGAUAAUUUUAAAAGACGAGAAGACCCUAUAGAGUUUUAUAUUUAAUAUUUAUUUUAAAAUUAAAGUAUUAUUUAAUUAAUCUAAAUAUAAAGUAUUUGGUUGGGGUGAUUAAAAAAUUUAAUAAACUUUUUUUUAUUUUAAAAUCAUUGAUUUAUGAAUAAUUGAGCCAUUUAUAUAUGAUUAAAAGAUUAAAUUACCUUAGGGAUAACAGCGUAAUUUUUUUUGAGAGUU